GGGUUGUGAGGUUAAGCGACUAAGCGUACACGGUGGAUGCCCUGGCAGUCAGAGGCGAUGAAGGGCGUGCUAAUCUGCGAUAAGCGCCGGUAAGGUGAUAUGAACCGUUAUAACCGGCGAUACCCGAAUGGGGAAACCCAGUGUGACUCGUCACACUAUCAUUAACUGAAUCCAUAGGUUAAUGAGGCGAACCGGGGGAACUGAAACAUCUAAGUACCCCGAGGAAAAGAAAUCAACCGAGAUUCCCCCAGUAGCGGCGAGCGAACGGGGAGGAGCCCAGAGCCUGAAUCAGCAUGUGUGUUAGUGGAAGCGUCUGGAAAGGCGCGCGAUACAGGGUGACAGCCCCGUACACAAAAGCGUAUGUGCUGUGAGCUCGAUGAGUAGGGCGGGACACGUGGUAUCCUGUCUGAAUAUGGGGGGACCAUCCUCCAAGGCUAAAUACUCCUGACUGACCGAUAGUGAACCAGUACCGUGAGGGAAAGGCGAAAAGAACCCCGGCGAGGGGAGUGAAAAAGAACCUGAAACCGUGUACGUACAAGCAGUGGGAGCCCCACCACUAAGCCAGUGGUGAACUCCACAUACGCAUCCUUUGCUGAGGAUACGGUUAACGGAGCGAAAGCGACGUUCAACCGCAAAAGAAGCAGAGGGGGCUUAGUGGUGGGGUGACUGCGUACCUUUUGUAUAAUGGGUCAGCGACUUAUAUUCUGUAGCAAGGUUAACCGAAUAGGGGAGCCGGAGGGAAACCGAGUCUUAACCGGGCGUUAAGUUGCAGGGUAUAGACCCGAAACCCGGUGAUCUAGCCAUGGGCAGGUUGAAGGUUGGGUAACACUAACUGGAGGACCGAAC
rnacentral:rRNA from 1 species